rnacentral:misc_RNA from 1 species
AACGCACAUUGCGCCUCCUGGCAUUCCGGGAGGCAUGCCUGUCCGAGCGUCAUUAAAACAAAUUCAAACAAUUUUUAUUUUGUUUGGUCUUGAGGGAUGAGCACAGCAAGAUUAUUCUAACUAUGCUCACCCAUCGAAAUCUAAUGGCAGAUAAUAAGUAUGGUUUGUCCCGGUGUGAUAAGUUUUUCAUGUCACUUGGUCAGCCCUAUUGAUCUUGCCAAUUGAAACUCCCCUCUUUUUUUUAUAAACGACCUCGGAUCAGGUAGGGAUACCCGCUGAACUUAA